rnacentral:rRNA from 1 species
UACGAAGGGAGCUAGCGUUGUUCGGAAUUACUGGGCGUAAAGGGCGCGUAGGCGGUUUAGCAAGUUGGAUGUGAAAGCCCAGGGCUCAACCCUGGAACUGCAUUCAAGACUGCUUUACUUGAAUUCGGUAGAGGUUAGUGGAAUUCCCAGUGUAGAGGUGAAAUUCGUAGAGAUUGGUAAGAACACCCGUGGCGAAGGCGGCUAACUGGACCGACAUUGACGCUGAGGCGCGAAAGCGUGGGGAUCAAACAGG